rnacentral:rRNA from 1 species
AUGCCAAGGUACGAGCUGGCGUUGUGGGACUUACUGAUGGUGCUUGCUGGCUGGAAGAAGCCGAGCGCGAGCUUGCCGUUUCUUGAGAUGAGGUUGGUGCCGAUGGCGAGCACUUGGCCUCCUGUAAGAGUAUCACUUGCUGCAGAGGAGCAUGAAGGGGCGUGCAAGAGGAGAAACCCGAACAAUAUGUAG